GAUGCGGAUGCCAUUGGAGGGAGAGUCUGGCCCUCUAGCCCCGCCCAUCUCUGAGGGCAUCGUGCCUGCUCCCCUGCCCCUCUCCUCCCUUGCCACUUAGUGGGGUGAGCAUGAGGUGGCAGGGGGACCUCGAUGACACUCACACCGUCAGCUCAGGGGCCCUCAUCUGCCCGCCUCACCUCCUGCCUCCCGUUACUGGGAAGGACUCCAGCGGGACAUCGGGAGGGACUCUGACCUUGUGGAAGAAGCCUAUGAGUGCCUCUGCCUGGGCUUGGCCAGGAAGCCGUUAACUGGGGACAGAGGCCAAGAGAGGGGUACCCCACGCCCAGGAGUCUCGGCCACCUCAGCAUCACCUCAGGUGCCUGCUCUUGAGCUCCUGGGCCCCAUCAGACUCUGCGGUCUCUGGAGGAAGGAUCAUCGCAGCAAGGCCUACAUUUCCCAGCCCCCACCUCCUCUUAGCGCAGCGCCUGCCCCAUGAGAGAGACCCAGGAGGCAUUUGUCACCUACUAGGAUCCCUGAACAUCUGGUUGACAACCCUGAGGAAGGAGCUCCAGUCACACACAUCAGUGCAAGACCCCCCCACUGAUGUGCAGCUGCCUGGGGAGCCCCGCUGUGAUGGCAAGAGGCAGUGUGUCCCCUAGAAGGGACCAAACAGGGGAGCUGGCUGGCUGUGGGUCAGGGGGAUCUUGAUUCCUAUUUCACUUGCUCUAUUCAUGUGCGACCUUAGGCUUCUAAGCCUCAGUUUCCUAUCUGUAAAAUGCAGAGGGGAUCCAGAGUAGCAGGGCCUGAUGAGAUGGAUGCAGGUUGAACGCUGGUGGCAGGUGGGCGGGGACAGCGGAGCCUCAGGGCUCUGCAUCCAGGGUGGGUGGCAGCCUUACGAGCCUGUUCCUGGGAUGCGACCUUUGUGCAUCUGCUGGCUGGCCUGCCUUAGUUCCUGCCCAUUUCAGAGUCGCCUCUUCGGCCUUCACACUGUUUCUAUGGCCCCCCGAUGACCUUCCAGUGGAUUCCCUUUCUGCUUAUCACGGUCAAAGUCUGUUUCUGCUGCCUGCAACUGAGAACCUGGAUAGAUUCAGCACUUAAAGUUCCUAGCACACUGCCUGGCACACAAAGUGUUCAAUAAAUGAUAGCCAGAAAUUGUUAGAAAAUAAUGUAUCCAUCCACUUAUCUACCCACGCAUCUGCCUGAACAUUCAUCCACUUAACAGGCAAGUGUUAAUACCUCUUGUAUCAGGUACUGAACCAAGUGCUGGGGGCACCAGGGAGAAUAAGAUAUGGUAUGCGGGGCCGGGGAUUUAGCUCAGUGGUGCCUCGCCUGCUUCCCAAGUGCAAGAUCCUGAGUAUGAUCCCUGGUACCAGAAAAAAAAGACACACACACACACAAAAGACAUGGUAUGUGUUCUUGGGAUGCUCACGGUCCAAUGGUAAGACUGACAUGUAAAAAUAAUCAUAAUGCAAUCUGGUAAAUGAUAUCAGCCAAAUUUGCACAGAGUAUCAUAGAGAAGUCCUUCCCCCGGCUUGGAGAGGCUCAGGAACAGAGAAAGUAUUUCCGGGAGUCCUGAGGGAGAGCUCUGAGGUCACCAGACCCCAGAGGUGGGAAUGGGCCGGAAGGGGUGAGGCCAGGAGGAAGCAACCGUAGUGCAUGGAGUUUUGGGAGGGGUUUGGUGUGGGCCUUGAGGUGAGGGUGCAUGGGAGGGAAAGACUGGAGGUGCGGCUGGGCCUCUGUCUGACAACGCGGGGAACACUUGCAGGGAUCUGGGGCUGUGUGAGGCAGGCUGAGGAGAGGCUUUGAAAGUUUCCCCAGGGGCCCGGGGAAGGUGAGCGUGCAGGAGACACACAGGCCUACAGGGCCUUGAUAGUGUGGGUGAGCUUUAUCCAGUCACUUGGGAGGCUUGAAGGGCAAAGUCGGAUGUUUCCCUGAACAAUAAGAAAUUCUGGCCCAAGAUCGAAGCAUUAGUUUUUUGUUUUUUUUUGUGGUACUGGGCAUCGAACUUGGAUCCGUGCCCUUACGAGGCAGGCUCCGGAACCACUGAGCUAAGUCCCCAGCCCCGAAGCAUUAGUUCUUGCUUGCACAUUUCCAGACUGUGGAAAGCAGACUAGCCAGCCCCAUGGUUGUAUAAGCCAAUUCCUUGAAAUACAUUCAAUAUGUAUGCAGUGCAUUCACUGUAUAUAUUUUAUACACACAUAGGCACACACACACGGUCCUUGACUUAUGAUUUUAUAGUUUACACUGGUAAGGAAGCCAUAUACGUUCAAUAAAAACUCUUCUGAAUAUUGAAUUUUGAUCUUUUCCCGGCCUGGCACUACGUGGGACUGCACUCCUUUUCACUGGUGGGCAGUGACCACGAUCAUGAGAGCAAACAACUGAUACUCUACAGCAAGCUGUGUUGCUAAGCGAUCAUAUUCAGUGGGUUGAGUGUAUGGAAUGUACUCUGGGCUUAAUGAUAUUUUCAGUUCACAGUGGAUUUCUUGGGACAUAACUCCACGGUAGGUCUGGGAACAUCUAUAUGUCUUACCAGUUCUGUUUUUCUGGAGAGCCAGGCUGAACCAUUGCCCUUUGCCUGCUCUAUCUGCUGCCCCUCUCGACUUCCCACUGUCUCAGUCAGUUGGGGCUGCUAUAACAAAAUCCCGAGGUUGGCUGGCUUAAGCUGCAGACAUUUACUUCUCAUAGUUCUGGAUGCAAAGUUCAAGGGGGCAGAUCCAGUGUCCAGUGAGAGCUGGCUUCCUGGUUUGCCUUUGGCCAUUUUCUCAGGGCAGAGAGCAGAACAAGCCCUCAAGUCUCCUCUUAGAAGGGCACUGAUACCAUUUCUGGGGGCUCCCUCCUCAUGACCGAAUCACUUUCCAUCACACUGGGAGUUUAGGUUUCAACUUAUGAAUUGGGGUGGGGAGAGACACAAGCAUUCAGACAACAGCAUUCUACCUCUGAGUAUGGCGUGCUCUAAACUUCGCUAUUCUCUGUCUCCUUCCGGUCCAUAGCCCCAGCCUGAAUCCUGCCCACUAUUUAGUCCUGCCGACUUGCCCCACUCUGGCCUGUCCAUGUGUGCCCUCCUCCUGCUCUGUCUCAGUCUUAGCUUGGCCCUCACCGGGUUCUACCUCCAUCCCCUGCCCUCCUGUGCCAGUUCCGCCAUAGUCAGAGUGAGCUCCAACUUCCCCAGCCUCUUCUGGCUCUGGGUUAGGCUCCGGGCUCGUUCUCUACCACGUGGGGCUCAUGGAGGCGCUGUAUCCGGUCUCCUCUGUAGUCCACUCUACUUUCUCCUACUCAGUCCAACCCACGUCGAUCCACUUGCCCCUUCUUGUUUGUUUUUGGUACCAGGGAUUGAACUCGGUUCCUUGUGAUUUCAAGGCAGGCCAUCGAACCGCUGAGCUAAAUCCCCGGUCCCUGGCUCUUCUUGUUAGGAGUAGUGAUGUUCUCCUUCAUCUGCACCUGGCUCAGUCCCCCUCUCCCUCAAGAGUUAGGCCAGCAGUCACCACCUUGAGCUCUGUGCUAGACUCUCUCUGUAGGCCUUUGGUGUCCACUGCAGUGGCCUACGCAUCACAGGAGGCCGGCUUUCUAAUUAACCUAUGUGGUGAAGGUGUCUUCACCACCGCAGCUCGUACCUUUGCUCCCAGCUUGGUGUCUGGUGCCAAGUGUCUACAUUUGUC